rnacentral:tRNA from 1 species
GCUCCUAAAGGAUAACAGCCAU